rnacentral:pre_miRNA from 2 species
CACAGACGGCAGCUGCGGCCUAGCCCCCAGGCUUCACUUGGCGUGGACAACUUGCUAAGUAAAGUGGGGGGUGGGCCACGGCUGGCUCCUACCUGGACAGGCCUCCAGCUAA